rnacentral:rRNA from 1 species
GACAGAGGUGGCUAGCGUUGUUCGGUAUCACUGGGCUUAAAGCGUGUGUAGGUGGGAACGUAAGCAUUUUGUGAAAUCCCCCGGCUCAACCGGGGCAUAGCUUGAUGUACUGCGUUCCUUGAGGCAAGUAGGGGUGCGAGGAACUCUUGGUGGAGCGGUGGAAUGCGUAGAUAUCAAGAGGAACGCCGGUGGUGAAGACGUCGCACUAGGCUUGUCCUGACACUGAGACACGAAAGCGUGGGGAGCGAACGGG